rnacentral:rRNA from 1 species
CCUACGGGAGGCAGCAGUGGGGAAUAUUGGGCAAUGGACGCAAGUCUGACCCAGCAACGCCGCGUGAAUGAUGAAGGUUUUCGGAUUGUAAAGUUCUGUGAAGGGGGAUGAACACAAUGACGGUACCCUAAUAUCAAGCCACGGCUAACUACGUGCCAGCAGCCGCGGUAAUACGUAGGUGGCAAGCGUUAUCCGGAAUGACUGGGUGUAAAGGGUGCGUAGGUGGUAUAGUAAGUUAGAUGUGAAAUUCCGGGGCUCAACCUGGGCACUGCCUCUAAAACUAUUAGGCUAGAGUGCAGGAGAGGUAAGCGGAAUUCCUAGUGUAGCGGUGGAAUGCGUAGAUAUUAGGAAGAACACCAGGGGCGAAGGCGACUUACUGGACUGUAACUGACGCUGAGGCACGAAAGCGUGGGGAGCAAACAGGAUUAGAUACCCGAGUAGUC